CGCUCUGAGCUCACCAAGCCUGGGACCAGUUCAAGACCUGAAAACACGAUUGUCUAUUAAAUGCAUGAUGGAGACUGCCGUUGUCCUCCAAGCAAAACUGCAGCACGAAUUACUCCACUUAUUCUUGAUGCCCAGAGAACUAUUACUCAGAACAUGAUCCAAAAAGAGAAAAGGAGAAGAGUUGAAUAUCUUUGUGAAAAAAA